GACGAACGCUGGCGGCGUGCCUAAUACAUGCAAGUCGAGCGGACCGAACAGGAGCUUGCUCUUGUUCGGUUAGCGGCGGACGGGUGAGUAUCACGUGGGUAACCUGCCCGUAAGACCGGGAUAACUCCGGGAAACCGGAGCUAAUACCGGAUAACACCGAAGACCGCAUGGUCUUUGGUUGAAAGGCGGCUUCGGCUGCCACUUACGGAUGGGCCCGCGGCGCAUUAGCUAGUUGGUGAGGUAACGGCUCACCAAGGCGACGAUGCGUAGCCGGCCUGAGAGGGUGACCGGCCACACUGGGACUGAGACACGGCCCAGACUCCUACGGGAGGCAGCAGUAGGGAAUCUUCCGCAAUGGACGAAAGUCUGACGGAGCGACGCCGCGUGAGCGAAGAAGGUCUUCGGAUCGUAAAGCUCUGUUGUUAGGGAAGAAGAAGCGUCGUUCGAACAGGGCGGCGCGGUGACGGUACCUAACGAGAAAGCCCCGGCUAACUACGUG
rnacentral:rRNA from 1 species